rnacentral:sRNA from 10 species
CCCAGGGCUUACGCCCUAGGCUAUUUCACGUCGCCCCUCCGGGGCU